rnacentral:rRNA from 1 species
AUGCAAUUCAUAUACAUAUUACCCGGUUGGGAAGGUUCUGCGCAUGAUGGUCGGGUUCUUAGGGAUGCCAUCUCACGGCCAAAUGGGUUGCGUGUCCCCGAAGGCCAAUAUUAUCUUGUCGAUGCUGGCUACACAAAUGCAAAAGGAUUUUUAGCUCCAUAUCGAGGUCAAAGGUAUCACUUGGGUGGUUGGACACCACAAAAUCCACCUCGUAGCGCAGAAGAGUAUCUCAACAUGCGCCACGCUAGAGCCCGAAAUAUAGUAGAAAGGUGCUUUGGAAGGUUGAAGGGUCGGUGGGGGAUUUUGAGGUCUCCUUCCUUUUUUCCCAUGAAGACCCAAUGUCGAAUCAUCAUGGCAUGUGCACUCUUGCACAAUCUUAUAUUGCAAAAGAUGUCUGUCGACCCACUUGACAUCAACAAGCCAAUAACACAAGAAACAUUAGAAGACAUGGAGGGAGAAUUGGACCAACCAGAAUUCAUCACUUCUAUCUCAACUUCGAAUGAGUGGACAAAUUUUCGGAAUGAACUUGCUCAAGGCAUGUAUAAUAGACAUAGGGCUGCUAGGGCGCAUUGA